UACGAAGGGUGCUAGCGUUGUUCGGAUUCAUUGGGCGUAAAGGGUGCGUAGGCGGCGCGGUAAGUCGGGUGUGAAAUCUCGGAGCUUAACUCCGAAACUGCAUUCGAUACUGCCGUGCUUGAGGACUGGAGAGGAGACUGGAAUUUACGGUGUAGCGGUGAAAUGCGUAGAUAUCGUAAGGAAGACCAGUGGCGAAGGCGGGUCUCUGGACAGUUCCUGACGCUGAGACGCGAAAGCGUGGGGAGCGAACAGG
rnacentral:rRNA from 1 species